rnacentral:misc_RNA from 1 species
UGGUUUCAAUUCAACUCUUCGUGAAGGCAAUGUCACCCAUCACGAGUACAUACAAGUUGGAAAAGGGAGAGAUGUGGGCCUUAAUCAGAUUUCAAUGUUUGAAGCAAAAAUAGCAAAUGGGAAUGGGGAGCAGACUUUAAGUCGUGAUAUAUACCGUCUUGGACACCGAUUUGACUUCUUCCGCAUGUUAUCUUGUUAUUUCACG